CAGCCGUAAACUAUGCGCGUUAGGUGUAUCGGUGACCACGAGUUACCGAGGUGCCGAAGGGAAACCGUGAAACGUGCCGCCUGGGAAGUACGGUCGCAAGGCUGAAACUUAAAGGAAUUGGCGGGGGAGCACCACAACAGGUGGAGCCUGCGGUUUAAUUGGACUCAACGCCGGGAAGCUCACCGGAUAGGACAGCAGAAUGAUUGCCGGGCUGAAGACCCUGCAUGACUAGCUGAGAGGAGGUGCAUGGCGUAGACGU
rnacentral:rRNA from 1 species